CACGUAGGGCGCAAGCGUUGUCCGGAAUUAUUGGGCGUAAAGAGCUCGUAGGCGGACUGUCACGUCCGCUGUGAAAAGCUAGGGCUUAACCCUGGCCUUGCAGUGGAUACGGGCAGACUAGAGGUAGGUAGGGGAGAAUGGAAUUCCCGGUGUAGCGGUGAAAUGCGUAGAGAUCGGGAGGAACACCAGUGGCGAAGGCGGCUACCUGGACCAGCACUGACACUGAGGCACGAAAGCGUGGGGAGCAAACAGG
rnacentral:rRNA from 1 species